rnacentral:rRNA from 1 species
AGUAAAAGUCGUAACAAGGUCUCCGUAGGUGAACCUGCGGAAGGAUCAUUACCGAGUGCGGGCCCCUCGGGGCCCAACCUCCCACCCGUGUUGCCCGAACCUAUGUGGCCUCGGCGGGCCCCGCGCCCGCCGACGGCCCCCCUGAACGCUGUCUGAAGUUGCAGUCUGAGACCUAUAACGAAAUUAGUUAAAACUUUCAACAACGGAUCUCUUGGUUCCGGCAUCGAUGAAGAACGCAGCGAAAUGCGAUAACUAAUGUGAAUUGCAGAAUUCAGUGAAUCAUCGAGUCUUUGAACGCACAUUGCGCCCUCUGGUAUUCCGGAGGGCAUGCCUGUCCGAGCGUCAUUGCUGCCCUCAAGCCCGGCUUGUGUGUUGGGCCCCGUCCCCCCCGCCGGGGGGACGGGCCCGAAAGGCAGCGGCGGCACCGCGUCCGGUCCUCGAGCGUAUGGGGCUUCGUCACCCGCUCUAGUAGGCCCGGCCGGCGCCAGCCGACCCCCAACCUUUAAUUAUCUCAGGUUGACCUCGGAUCAGGUAGGGAUACCCGCUGAACUUAAGCAUAUCAAUAAGCGGAGGAAAAGAAACCAACAGGGAUUGCCCCAGUAACG